GACGAACGCUGGCGGCGUGCCUAAUACAUGCAAGUAGAACGCUGAAGAGAGGAGCUUGCUCUUCUUGGAUGAGUUGCGAACGGGUGAGUAACGCGUAGGUAACCUGCCUUGUAGCGGGGGAUAACUAUUGGAAACGAUAGCUAAUACCGCAUAACAAUGGAUGACACAUGUCAUUUAUUUGAAAGGGGCAAUUGCUCCACUACAAGAUGGACCUGCGUUGUAUUAGCUAGUAGGUGAGGUGAUGGCUCACCUAGGCGACGAUACAUAGCCGACCUGAGAGGGUGAUCGGCCACACUGGGACUGAGACACGGCCCAGACUCCUACGGGAGGCAGCAGUAGGGAAUCUUCGGCAAUGGGGGCAACCCUGACCGAGCAACGCCGCGUGAGUGAAGAAGGUUUUCGGAUCGUAAAGCUCUGUUGUAAGUCAAGAACGGGUGUGAGAGUGGAAAGUCCACACUGUGACGGUAGCUUACCAGAAAGGGACGGCGAACUACGU
rnacentral:rRNA from 1 species